UACGGAGGGUGCAAGCGUUGUUCGGAAUUAUUGGGAGUAAAGAGUGUGUAGGCGGCUUGGUAAGUGAGUUGUGAAAGCCCGGGGCCCAACCCCGGAAUUGCAUCUGAAACUGCCUGGCUAGAGUCCCGGAGAGGAAGGCAGAAUUCCCGGUGUAGGGGUGAAAUCCGUAGAUAUCGGGAGGAAUACCAGCGGCGAAGGCGGCCUUCUGGACGGUGACUGACGCUGAGACGCGAAAGCGUGGGGAGCAAACAGG
rnacentral:rRNA from 1 species